rnacentral:lncRNA from 1 species
AACAGGUAUCACUGCCUCUAUCCCAAAGAUGAGCUUGAAAAUUAUUUUUCCGAUUGGUACCCGAGGUAUAGUUCUAUAUGUCUAGAGAAUAUUGUAACACUCUUCUAUCCAGAGUCCUUUAGCUUCAGUGAGCCUUAUUUUUAAAUCUUGAAGAAUAGUUCUAUUAGUAACUUCGGCUUCUCUAUUUAACUGUGGAUAUCCAACUGAAAUGAAUCAAUGAUCAAUAUGGAGCUCAAAAUAGAAUUUUUUGAACUUCUGAUUAUCAAACUGCCGUCCGUUGUUGGUAAUUAUGACUUGAAGCAAACCGAAAUGGUAGAUAAUUGAUUUUCAUAUAAAAUCUC